CCAAUAUGUUCUCGUCCUCUUGAGUCUUCUUAAGCUGUCUACAGAUAAAUGUAUACUAGCUAUCAUUUUCUUUUAUCUGCAUGCAAGAAAGAGGUGAUUCCCUCUCCUAUAUCUGUUUCCAGAAACCACUGAUCCUUUUUCUGUCAUUAUAGUUUACAUUAUGUAGCAUCUCUUAUCAUUGGAAUCAAAUGAUUUUGACAAUAAUUUAAUGGUAUCCAUAAGAUGGCAAUGUCAGACAAUGCUGUAGAAAAAAGGAAGGAAAGGAAGGAAUGAAGAAGGAAAGAGGGAGGAAGAAAGAGAGGA